GUAGCAUAAUCACUUGCUUCUUAAUUAGGAGCUGGAAUGAAAGAGGCGACGAAAUCUAGACUAUUUAGAUUUUAGGUAAAUUGACAAGUAGGUCAAAAGGCCCACAUAAACCAGGGGGACGAUAAGACCCUAUAAAACUUUACUUUUAGCGUGUCUGCUUAACAGGGUGUCUUUACAGUUGAGAGUUAGACUGGGGCGGUGCUUAUAAAAACAAUUAGACAUAUAAUAUAUUAAAUAGUGCGGUAGAGCUCUUUUAAGAAAUAGAACAAGUUACUUUAGGGAUAACAGCGUGAUUCUCCCAGAGAGUUCUAAUUGGCGGGGGAGUUUACGACCUCGAUGUUGAAUUGGGAAACCGCGUGUAAGCAAAAAUACACAAAGACAGUCUGUUCGACUGGUAAGUUCCC
rnacentral:rRNA from 1 species